AGCAGUGUGGUUUAGUGGGUAGAAUACAGGCCUGUGAGUUCAGAAGGACCUGGGUUCUAAUCCAGGCUCUGCCA
rnacentral:tRNA from 1 species